rnacentral:tRNA from 1 species
GCCUCGGUGGCUCAGUCGGUAGAGCGUCAGUCUCAUAAUCAAAAUAGAGUAAUCUGAAGGUCGAGAGUUCGAGCCUCUCCCGGGGCA